rnacentral:rRNA from 1 species
AUUGAACGCUGGCGGCAGGCCUAACACAUGCAAGUCGAACGAGUGGCGGACGGGUGAGUAAUGUAUGGGAAUCUGCCUGAUGGUGGGGGAUAACUACUGGAAACGGUAGCUAAUACCGGCUACCAUCAGAUGAACCUAUAUGGGAUUAGCUUGUAGGUGGGGUAACGGCUCACCUAGGCGACGAUCCCUAGCUGGUCUGAGAGGAUGAUCAGCCACACUGGGACUGAGACACGGCCCAGACUCCUACGGGAGGCAGCAGUGGGGAAUAUUGCACAAUGGGCGCAAGCCUGAUGCAGCCAUGCCGCGUGUAUGAAGAAGGCCUUCGGGUUGUAAAGUACUUUCAGUCGGGAGGCGUUACCGGCAGAAGAAGCACCGGCUAACUCCGUGCCAGCAGCCGCGGUAAUUC